AAGUUCUAAUAAAUCAUUGCCUUUUCUGUAGGUAAAAUCUGCUGGUAGUCACUCCAUUAUUCUUAUCCAUGGAGAGCAAGAUCUUGAUUUGAAAGUUUCUGAGAAAAUCUUCAGCUCAGACUUGAGGUCAACUUUACCAACUGAAGGAUCUGCAUUUACUGCUCCAACCGCAUCUAAUUUGAUGCCAUCUGCAAAUUUAAAAUGUGUGUCUUCUUUUCCACCACCAAGUCAUCCCUGUGUUACUACCGAACAUCCUUCUCAAUCGCCCCCGGUCCAUGAAUCGCUGUUCUCCAUUGUGUAUUUCACCAGAUGUCCUCAAAACAGACAGGCAGAAAAAGGAAGUGGCUCAUGGAAUGGGCUGUUGCCAGCUUCUGCUUCCUGCCCCAGUCCCAGCAUGGACUGAGGAUUUGCUCUGAGAAGGCAGUUCCUCGCAUGUCGUCUGAGAACUGUGGAGUCCAAGUGUAACUGCCAAGAGGCAUCCAGCAAAGCCAGAGAGUCCAAGCAUGUAGCCCUGCCGGUAGCCCGCCACACGCAUGGAAAACCCAGAGGAAAUGAGUGA
rnacentral:lncRNA from 1 species